UACAGAGGUCCCGAGCGUUGUUCGGAUUCAUUGGGCGUAAAGGGUGCGUAGGCGGCGGGGCAAGUCUGAUGUGAAAUCCUGGGGCUCAACCCCCAGAACUGCAUUGGAUACUGCUUUGCUAGAGUACUGGAGAGGGAACUGGAAUUUACGGUGUAGCAGUGAAAUGCGUAGAGAUCGUAAGGAAGGCCAGUGGCGAAGGCGAGUUCCUGGACAGUGACUGACGCUGAGGCACGAAGGCCAGGGGAGCAAACGGG
rnacentral:rRNA from 1 species